UUAUGGUCAUAUCAUGUUGAAACACCAGUUCCCAACCGAUCACCAAAUUUAAACAACAUCAAGACUGAUCAGUACCCAGUUGAGUGACCACUUAGGAAUACCAGGUGCUGUCAG